ACGCUGGCGGCAGGCCUAACACAUGCAAGUCGAGCGGUAGAGAGAAGCUUGCUUCUCUUGAGAGCGGCGGACGGGUGAGUAAUGCCUAGGAAUCUGCCUGGUAGUGGGGGAUAACGUUCGGAAACGGACGCUAAUACCGCAUACGUCCUACGGGAGAAAGCAGGGGACCUUCGGGCCUUGCGCUAUCAGAUGAGCCUAGGUCGGAUUAGCUAGUUGGUGAGGUAAUGGCUCACCAAGGCGACGAUCCGUAACUGGUCUGAGAGGAUGAUCAGUCACACUGGAACUGAGACACGGUCCAGACUCCUACGGGAGGCAGCAGUGGGGAAUAUUGGACAAUGGGCGAAAGCCUGAUCCAGCCAUGCCGCGUGUGUGAAGAAGGUCUUCGGAUUGUAAAGUACUUUAAGUUGGGAGGAAGGGCAGUUACCUAAUACGUGAUUGUUUUGACGUUACCGACAGAAUAAGCACCGGCUAACUCUGUGCCAGCAGCCGCGGUAAUACAGAGGGUGCAAGCGUUAAUCGGAAUUACUGGGCGUAAAGCGCGCGUAGGUGGUUUGUUAAGUUGGAUGUGAAAUCCCCGGGCUCAACCUGGGAACUGCAUUCAAAACUGACUGACUAGAGUGUGGUAGAGGGUGGUGGAAUUUCCUGUGUAGCGGUGAAAUGCGUAGAUAUAGGAAGGAACACCAGUGGCGAAGGCGACCACCUGGACCAACACUGACACUGAGGUGCGAAAGCGUGGGGAGCAAACAG
rnacentral:rRNA from 1 species